GGUAUUUAGCUCAGUGGCAUAGCGCCUGCCUGGCAAGCACGAGGUCCUGAGUUCAAUCCUUGGUACCA
rnacentral:tRNA from 1 species